rnacentral:rRNA from 1 species
CCUACGUGUGGCAGCAGUGGGGAAUAUUGCACAAUGGGGGAAACCCUGAUGCAGCGACGCCGCGUGAGUGAAGAAGUAUCUCGGUACGUAAAGCUCUAUCAGCAGGGAAGAAAAUGACGUUACCUGACUAAGAAGCCCCGGCUAACUACGUGCCAGCAGCCGCGGUAAUACGUAGGGGGCAAGCGUUAUCCGGAUUUACUGGGUGUAAAGGGAGCGUAGACGGCAGCACAAGUCUGGAGUGAAAUCCCGGGGCUUAACCCCGGAACUGCUUUGGAAACUGUGCGGCUGGAGCGCAGGAGGGGUAAGCGGAAUUCCUAGUGUAGCGGUGAAAUGCGUAGAUAUAUGGAAGAACACCAGUGGCGAAAGCGGCUCUCUGGUCUGUAACUGACGCUGAGGUUCGAAAGCGUGGGUAGCAAACAGGAUUAGAUACCCUAGUAGUC